ACACUACUCCCUCCGUUCGGAAUUACUUGUCGCGGAAAUGGAUGUAUCUAGACGUAUUUUAGUUCUAGAUACAUCCAUUUCCGAGACCAGUAAUUCCGAACGGAGGGAGUAGUUG
rfam:Triticum aestivum genome assembly, contig: Triticum_aestivum_CS42_TGACv1_scaffold_157988_2DL